rnacentral:rRNA from 1 species
UGAGUAACACGUGGGCAAUCUGCCCUGCACUUCGGGAUAAGCCUGGGAAACUGGGUCUAAUACCGGAUAGGACCUUUAGACGCAUGUCUUUUGGUGGAAAGCUUUUGCGGUGUGGGAUGGGCCCGCGGCCUAUCAGCUUGUUGGUGGGGUGAUGGCCUACCAAGGCGACGACGGGUAGCCGGCCUGAGAGGGUGUCCGGCCACACUGGGACUGAGAUACGGCCCAGACUCCUACGGGAGGCAGCAGUGGGGAAUAUUGCACAAUGGGCGCAAGCCUGAUGCAGCGACGCCGCGUGGGGGAUGACGGCCUUCGGGUUGUAAACCUCUUUCACCAUCGACGAAGGUCCGGGUUUUCUCGGAUUGACGGUAGGUGGAGAAGAAGCACCGGCCAACUACGUGCCAGCAGCCGCGGUAAUACGUAGGGUGCGAGCGUUGUCCGGAAUUACUGGGCGUAAAGAGCUCGUAGGUGGUUUGUCGCGUUGUUCGUGAAAUCUCACGGCUUAACUGUGAGCGUGCGGGCGAUACGGGCAGACUAGAGUACUGCAGGGGAGACUGGAAUUCCUGGUGUAGCGGUGGAAUGCGCAGAUAUCAGGAGGAACACCGGUGGCGAAGGCGGGUCUCUGGGCAGUAACUGACGCUGAGGAGCGAAAGCGUGGGGAGCGAACAGGAUUAGAUACCCUGGUAGUCCACGCCGUAAACGGUGGGUACUAGGUGUGGGUUUCCUUCCUUGGGAUCCCGUGCCGUAGCUAACGCAUUAAAGUACCCCCGCCUGGGGGAGUACGGGCCGCAAGGGCUAAAACUCAAAGGAAUUUGACGGGGGGGCCCGCACAA